CAAGUAGUGAGGAAGGCGGGGACGACGUCAAGUCAUCAUGGCCCUUACGUCCAGGGCUACACACGUGUUACAAUGGCCAGUACAGAGGGCAGCCACCCCGCGAGGGGGCGCUAAUCCUAAAAGCUGGUCCCAGUUCGGAUCGGAGUCUGCAACCCGACUCCGUGAAAGCUGGAUUCGCUAGUAAUCGCGCAUCAGCCAUGGCGCGGUGAAUACGUUCCCGGGCCUU
rnacentral:rRNA from 1 species